rfam:Triticum aestivum genome assembly, contig: Triticum_aestivum_CS42_TGACv1_scaffold_093249_2AL
GUACUACUCCCUCCGUCCGGAAAUACUUGUCAUUAAAAUAGAUGUAUUUAGACGUAUUUUAGUUCUAAAUAUAUCCAUUUUCACUCAUUUUGAUGACAAGUAUUUCCGGAUGAAGGGAGUACCUC